rnacentral:tRNA from 1 species
GCCUCGGUAACUCAGCGGUAGAGUGAUUGACUUGUAAUCAAUUAGCCGGGGGUUCAAUUCCCCCCCGAGGCUCCA